UUUUCCCUUGUUUGGAAGAAUUAAUGCUUGAAGCAAUUAAUUCUGAGAAGAUUUGGGACAACAAACUUCCAACAACCUCUUAUUGCUAUCAGAAUUUGAAAAAAUUGAUUGUGUAUGGCUGUCAAAAACUAAAAUUUGUAUUUCCAUCAUCUAUAAUCAAAAGCUUUGAGCAGCUUCAACACCUUGAGAUAAGUUGUUGUAAGGAAUUAAAGGGGAUUAUUGCCAAAGAAGAAACAAAGGGUACUACUACAUUUAUCUUUCCAAGGGUAACCUUUCUGAAAUUCAAAGAAUUGCCAGAGUUUACAACUUUAUACAAUGGAAAAUACAACUCAAAUUGGCCAAUGUUAAAGGAGUUGGAGAUGUGUGAUUGUAGCAAACUAGACAUAUUUAAUUCAGAAUAUAAGGUUGUUGUCCCCAAUUUGGAGGUCUUAAAACUACGUUCAGUUUGGGAUAGUCAACUUGUGGCAACUUCUUCUUGCUAUCAAAACUUGACAAGCUUGAUUUUGAAUGGUUGUGAAAAACUCCAAUAUGUAUUUUUAUCAUCCAUGGUGAAAAGCUUUGAGUGGCUUGAACACAUUGAGAUAUGCAAUUGCAGUGUUUUGAAGGAGAUUAUUUCAAAAGAAGUGGAAGCAAACAAGACAUUUGUAUUUUCACGAGUAACCUUCUUAAAAUUGGAGAAUUUGCCCGAACUUAUAACUUUCUAUCCUGGAGUACACACUUCUGAAUGGCCAGUGUUAAAGGAGUUGGAGGUGUGUAAUUGUGGCAAAAUAAAAACAUUCAAUUCAGAAUAUAUGAGCUUCCAUCAUAAUAAUGAGGGUCAACAUGAUAUUUGGGGGAAACAAUCCCUCUUCUUGGCCGAAAAGAUUAACCUCAAUUUGGAGAAAUUAACCCUAAGCAGAGUGGAUGAAAUGAUAAAUUUGCUGUGUCAGUUUCCAGAAAACUUUUGUAGAUGUACAAUUGGGAUCAAACAGGAUAAAUCUACCAAUAUUUCAGUUGGCAUCCUUCAGAGAUCGCUUAAGCUGGAAAAACUCAUGCUCAAUGACUGCUCAUAUGAGGAGAUAUUUACGUGUGGAGAGAAUGAGAAACAUACAAAGAUCCUGAUACAAAUAAAAAGUUUGGAGUUGCGUUAUCUUUCUGAUGCAAAGUACCUUUGGGGAAAAAGCUCCAAACUAGACUCUCUUCUUCAAAAUCUUGAAGUUCUAGAAGUAAUUUAUUGUCCUCAAAUGAUAAAUGUUCUGCCAUCCUCAGCAUCUUUUGAGAAUCUAACAGUUUUGAAUGUAUGGGAGUGUCAUGGAUUGAUGAACUUACUCACACCUUCAAUAGCAAAAAAUUUGGUGCAGUUGAGAGAAAUGAAAAUUCAAUUUUGCGAAAUAAUGACAGAAAUAGUAUCAAAUAAGACAGAAGAUGUAGCAGCAGAAGAUGAAAUUGUUUUUGGCAAACUGAAGUUGUUGUCACUUCGCUACUUACAAAGUCUCAUAUGCUUCUACUCUGGGAAUUAUGUAUUGAAAUUUCCAUCUUUGGAAGAAUUGACUGUAUAUAAAUGUCCUAUGAUAAAGACUUUCUCUGUAGGAAACUUAUAUACACCAAGUUUACAGAAAGUUCAACAAGAUUGGUGGGAUAAAAGCAAAUGGAGUUGGGAGGGUGACCUAAAUGCAACCAUACAACUACUGUACGAAAAAGAGAAUAUUCAGAGUUCUGGAAAGGAUGCAGAGCUUACUUCGAUGAAAUCUCCAGAAUAAGGCUCUUUUGUUUGUCGUUUGUGAGGCAUUAUUGCGACUCAAGUUCCCUGAGUUGAGGUCAGAGAUGGGAGGCCUUUUGUUAUAAUCAUUUCUCUUGAUCUCUGUUUCAGUUCUGAUCUCACACAAACCAUUUUAAUUGCAUAUCCCUUAGCCAUCCUGUCUGUGCAAGAUCAUUGUUCUGUUGGUAUCUCUGUUUGAUUUGCAAUUAUUGGGUUCACAUAUGCCUUUCAAACAAACAUGAAAUAUUGUUGAAAUUCAUGCAUUCAUUGAAAAUCUCAAUUCUGGGAUCAUCCUUUCUGUCGCAAAGCUCUCUCCUGGCCACGCAGCUUAUCGUUUCUUGGUAAGCUAUCAAAAUGGGAAGUUUGUGCUUGCAUACUGCAAGUUUCCUUGCGUUGAUUUAUUGGAACUUGCAAAGGCAUUUCUGUCCAAGAUCAAAUAUCAGAGCCAAGUUCUAAAUCAAUUUCAAUUGAUAUUUUUGUUUAUCUUGUCCAGAUUCUGGUUCCAGGUGUUCUGCUCCAGAAUAGAUUGUGGAUCCUCUGCUUCCUUGGUUCCCUGUAUUUUUGUUGUGGUUUUAUGAUGCUUGUUUCUCUGUACUUUGUAUUAGCUGAUUAUAUAUUUAUAAGUUUCUUCUUGGGAAUACUGCUGGAAUUCUUGAAUUUCUUUUCUAUUCAUGUAUAUACAUACAAGAGGCAUUUCAUGAUGCAUUCAAAAAUCUUGUGCCCUUAAUCUAUAACCAAAUAUUUUGCUAA